rnacentral:rRNA from 1 species
AGUGAACGCUGGCGGUAGGCCUAACACAUGCAAGUCGAACGGCAGCACAGUAAGAGCUUGCUCUUACGGGUGGCGAGUGGCGGACGGGUGAGGAAUACAUCGGAAUCUACUUUUUCGUGGGGGAUAACGUAGGGAAACUUACGCUAAUACCGCAUACGACCUACGGGUGAAAGCAGGGGAUCUUCGGACCUUGCGCGAUUGAAUGAGCCGAUGUCGGAUUAGCUAGUUGGCGGGGUAAAGGCCCACCAAGGCGACGAUCCGUAGCUGGUCUGAGAGGGUGAUCAGCCACACUGGAACUGAGACACGGUCCAGACUCCUACGGGAGGCAGCAGUGGGGAAUAUUGGACAAUGGGCGCAAGCCUGAUCCAGCCAUACCGCGUGGGUGAAGAAGGCCGUCGGGUUGUAAAGCCCUUUUGUUGGGAAAGAAAAGCAGCAGGUUAAUACCCCGCUGUUCUGACGGUACCCAAAGAAUAAGCACCGGCUAACUUCG